UCCCAAAAUUCUUGUCUUAGAUUUGUCUAGAUACGAAUGUAUCAAGUCACAUUUUAGUAUUAGAUACAUCCGUAUCUAGACAAAUCUAAGACAAGAAAUUUGGGA
rnacentral:pre_miRNA from 1 species